rnacentral:lncRNA from 1 species
GAUAUUCAUACUAAUUUUGACACCUCAGUGUAUAGACAAUUGGUUUAUGAUGAUGAUGAAAAUUUAAACACUUUUAGAAAAUAGGGAUUGCUGUUAUAGUGCAUGAAACAGGAAUUCAUUAUUGACAAAAAUACAGGACAGUGUAAUACACAACAUCAACCACCAGCAUCUGACUCCACUGAAAAACCCCAAACAAUUAACAUACAAGACAUGGUCUAGAGAGCCUGACAUGGUACAGAUAUUAAAUUGGGGUGGUGUUAAAUUAGUUUUAUCUGUCCACAAUUCCACCCCUUUUGCCUUUCAAGAUUAUAUGUUGCAAAACAAAAAUCACUCAAUAAAAAAGUUGCACCGUGUAAUUAACUGAUAUCAUAAGUAUCAUUGUAAAGUAAAGUUGAAAUUGGCAGUAUUUGUGACAGAAAGUAUUUAAAAUAGUCAGGCC